GCUUGCUUUGGCAAUGCAUAUACUAAAAUUUUAACAACACAGAGGUUAGCAUGGACCUUGUCCAAGAAUGGACACAAAUUCAUGAAGAAUUUUUACUGGGU
rnacentral:snRNA from 1 species